UACGAGGGGGGCGAGCGUUGUUCGGAAUUAUUGGGCGUAAAGGGUGCGUAGGCGGUUUGGUAAGUCUGAUGUGAAAUCUAUGGGCUCAACUCAUAGUCUGCAUCGGAAACUGCCGGGCUUGAGUGUGGGAGAGGUGAGUGGAAUUCCUGGUGUAGCGGUGAAAUGCGUAGAUAUCAGGAGGAAAACCUGUGGCGAAAGCGGCUCACUGGACCAUAACUGACGCUGAUGCACGAAAGCUAGGGGAGCAAACAGG
rnacentral:rRNA from 1 species